UUUGAAUAAUUUGAAACCGAUCACUAAAGCGAUCCUUAAUAGCGGUCAAAUUUAGGCUUACUUGGAUAC
rnacentral:rRNA from 1 species